GGAAUAGCUCAGUUGGUAGAGCACGACCUGGCCAAGGUCGGUGUCGCGAGUUCGAGUCUCGUUUCC
rnacentral:tRNA from 1 species